ACGGAAGGGGCUAGCGUUGUUCGGAAUUACUGGGCGUAAAGCGCACGUAGGCGGCUUUGUAAGUUAGAGGUGAAAGCCCGGGGCUCAACUCCGGAAUUGCCUUUAAGACUGCAUCGCUAGAAUUGUGGAGAGGUAAGUGGAAUUCCGAGUGUAGAGGUGAAAUUCGUAGAUAUUCGGAAGAACACCAGUGGCGAAGGCGGCUACCUGGACCGGAACUGACGCUGAUGCGCGAAAGCGUGGGUAGCAAACAGGA
rnacentral:rRNA from 1 species